rfam:Homo sapiens chromosome 1, GRCh38 reference primary assembly.
GCCGGGCGUGGUGGCGCACGCCUGUAAUCCCAGCUACUGGGGAGGUUGAGGUGGGAGAAUCGCUUGAACCCGGGAGGCGGAGGUUGCAGUGAGCCCAGAUGGCACCACUGCACUGCAGCCUGGGUGACAGAGUGAGACUCCAUCUAAA